GGGUCGAUAGCUCAACGGUAGAGCAGCGUCCUUUUAAGUCGUUGGUUCUGGGUUCGAAUCCCAGUCGACCCACCA
rnacentral:tRNA from 3 species